UACAUUCUUUUUAAAAUUGGAUCUUUGAAUGAGUUAUAAUACACAAGUCAUAAUGUGACAGGUGCUCCAAUGAUUUAUAUCGUUAAUUCUAUGAAACUUUUAUGCUAUACAUCACACUGGAUAGAUAUCAUAUUUCUGAUAUAUUUGCGGCCAUCUCUAGUCAUAAUUUUUAUUUAUUUUGUCAAAUAAUAAGUUAUUCUAUUUUCUGCUCUGUUGCCACAUAAGUGGAACCGUUUAAGAAUUUGAGGAUCUUAUAAAUACAAUUUGUACUUUCUAUUCCCACUUGAUCUCCAUUUUAGGCCUUAUUUGGUUCAAAAUAAUCUAUUUCCAGGGAAGUUUAAUUUCUGGGAAGUACACUUCCAGGGAAGUUAUUUACUAGAAAUUAUGUUUUAUAUGUGUUUGGUUGGUAUGUUAAAUUCCAGGAAAAUAAAAAUGUAUUCAUGAAAAGUAUGUAUAAAAAUGACAAAAAUAUCCAUAAACCUCCAUCCAUAUACUCAAUCGUAGAAAAAAUAAAAAGGAUAAAAUGAAAAAUAAAGGGAGUAACUUGAAGUUCUUGGGUUGGGUUGAGGAACUCACUUCUCUUGCAAACGGGAAGUAAACCACAUCUAUUUCUUGGGAAGUCAUAAACUCAUGAUAACCAAACAAACUAAC
rnacentral:lncRNA from 1 species